AGAAGACCCACUGUGGUCCCUGGUUUCCACAAUAACAUCCCCAGGGAGGAGGAGAAGAAGAAGUAGACAUGAACAAGGAGCAGACAGGAAUCAACACUGGAGCAAAAGACAAGACUGGCAGACGGCGCUGAACGGAGCCAUUCGAAUUAAGCAUUUGAAGAGUAAAUGUUGCUGGCGUCAGCUCAAAGCAUUCUUCUGUGACAUGUGCAGAACAUACAGACAGGUUGGAUCCUGUUCCGGACCCCCACGGACCCCGCUGCAAACAGAGCUUCGAGUUUAUGAAACGAGCUGAAGAAUGCCACCUCUCAAGUUUGAAAUCUGCACCGACUGUGCAAAGAUGUAACCAGAGAAAAUACAUAAUGGUGGAAGGUGUGAGUCAUUGUUUUUUGCUUGGUAUGAUAAAGGAAAGAGAUAAAAGCAAAGAGCGAGGGGAGCAGAGAAUACACUCAGCCUGCUUGAGAGGUCGUCUGUGCAUGCAAACUCUUCCAGCGCAAGCACAACCAGCGUUUAUAAAUUUAGAAAUACAUGUUUUAACAAGAAUGUUUGAUCUAGACUUCCAGCUAAAACAGAUGCACCUCUUUUUCUUCUCCCAGGAAAAAAUGAGAAAGGAAAAAAAAGACCUGUCAUGACCCCACAUGUUAUUUCCACUUCAGCUUUCUUGCAGUUAAUUGCAUCACGGCUGGAUUCAAGUGGAAAGCCAGAUUAAAAAGAUAAGAGGAGGAGAUGAUGAUAGAUAUAUCUAGUUAUGCUCAAAGAUUAGGUGAGCAUGAAUAUUUCAUUUCUACAGGUCCCACUUUGUCAGAUUUGUGCUUUUCCUUUUUGUUGUCUUGCUCUGUAGAAGAAAGGUAGAGCUUAAAUUAAAAUGCUGUGAUUAUUUCGUUUGUAUUUCAACUGCUGUGUGGCAUUUCUUGGAACAUGUCAAUCACUAGUUAUUUAGUAUAGUUGCAGAAUCUGUUUUCAAUAGAAAAAACUUUACAGGAUCCAAACCUCAGCUUUGCUAUUCAGACUGUGAUGAAAAAUAAUCCCAGCACUGUCAUGUACAUGUAAACGACAGGAGUCUAGCAAUCUAGCUGCUUCCAUAACAUAAGUGAGAAGUGAUGCUUUUAUGUGAUACAAAAAUAAAACAUCCAGGAUGUUAAACUCACUUUUCACUGUGAGCCAUGGACAGAGCACGUUGAUCAUAAAGAAAAGUCUCCUUUCUGUGAGUGUAAAAAGUUUAACUACACAUUUAAU